rnacentral:rRNA from 1 species
AACGAACGCUGGCGGCAUGCCUAACACAUGCAAGUCGAACGAGACCUUCGGGUCUAGUGGCGCACGGGUGCGUAACGCGUGGGAACCUGCCCUUAGGUUCGGAAUAACUCCCCGAAAGGGGUGCUAAUACCGGAUAAUGUCUUCGGACCAAAGAUUUAUCGCCUUUGGAUGGGCCCGCGUUGGAUUAGCUAGUUGUUAGGGUAAAAGCCUACCAAGGCGACGAUCCAUAGCUGGUCUGAGAGGAUGAUCAGCCACACUGGGACUGAGACACGGCCCAGACUCCUACGGGAGGCAGCAGUGGGGAAUAUUGGACAAUGGGCGAAAGCCUGAUCCAGCAAUGCCGCGUGAGUGAUGAAGGCCUUAGGGUUGUAAAGCGCUUUUACCCGGGAUGAUAAUGACAGUACCGGGAGAAUAAGCUCCGGCUAACUCCGUG